GGGGAAGCGGCCCCUUAAUGUGCAUCACACCGCCAAAAAUUGUAAAAAAGUAGAACUAAAACAAAAUAAAUGAAAACACUGGUAGAAAGUAGCUGGAAAGACGCAAAUGUUCUUCACGGCCAAAAUUGCAUGCCCGAAAAAGCUCCAACGCUACAAUAGUCAGCUAGUGAUCAACGAACAAGGUUGAAGCCAAGACAAGAAUUGCUAGAAAUGAACAGAUCAAGCAAGAACCGUAAGGUCCAUAGUCAUAGCAGCAUAACCAGACCCUCCCCUCUGAUCACUAUCGACUGCCACCUGAAUUAAUGCUGGUCCCUCCUCCUUCCUCCAUCCAACAGAUAUCCUGCCGUCAGAGGAAACCUUCGCGAGUAACGGGUAAUGGAACUUAUUAUCGAUCUAUCAAUAGCAACAAUAUUGAACUUGGAGAUGAGCACUGACGAAUCACCCUUCAGUUCAACUGUCUAAAACCCCAAAUCCUAAGUAAAACGGAUAGCCUGAAUGCAAGCAAGGGCCACCGAUAUUAGCGAACAGGAGACGUUUUCCUACUAGGAACAAGCCGAUCCCAAAAGCAACCAAGCAGAAUCCCAAACAACAACUCCAACGCUGGCAGCCUGCAGAUUCGCAAAGAGCCCCGCAUCAAAAUUGACACGGACCCAAGGAUCGACAGGAAGCUUCCAAAAGCAUGGGCUUCACAGCCAGAACCCCACCCGUAUUCGACGGAAGAAAGUCUAAUUCGUGUAGAUACCCCCGAAAAAAAGAUAAGUAGCGUCUGAACCGAUUGAUAAAUUCCUUCAUAAACGAUUUUAUUACGUGAGAUCUAGAUAGUCCAUAUGGUGAGAAUAGAGAGCUGUACAUGGCAAGUGCCUUGAGCAAAUAAUUGUCCAACCCAAGUAAGGGGUGUAUCAUUAUCCGCUAGAAUAGGAUCCCAACUAAUACCCAAUUGUGCCAAAUGUGCAGGACUCUAGGGCAAUCUCGACAGACAUGAAGAAUGGUCUCAGGACCACCACCACAGCGGCAACACAUACGAUCGGACCCAAGUCUACACUGAUACAAGUUAACCUUUGUAGGUAGAAAAUUAUUAAUGUAAUGCCAACAUGUAAUUUUCAUUUUCUCGGGCACAUGAGCCCCCCAUAGAUGUUUAUAAAGUAGGUGUGUAUGCUGUGUAAUAUUAAUGUAACGAUCAUCAUCUGUCCCCGGGAUGCCUCGCAACAGUAGCUUAUAGUCAUUUUA